CCUACGGGAGGCAGCAGUAGGGAAUCUUCCACAAUGGGCGCAAGCCUGAUGGAGCAACACCGCGUGAGUGAAGAAGGGUUUCGGCUCGUAAAGCUCUGUUGUUGGAGAAGAAUGUGCGCGAGAGUAACUGUUCACGCAGUGACGGUAUCCAACCAGAAAGUCACGGCUAACUACGUGCCAGCAGCCGCGGUAAUACGUAGGUGGCAAGCGUUAUCCGGUUUUAUUGGGCGUAAAGCGAGCGCAGGCGGUUGCUUAGGUCUGAUGUGAAAGCCUGCGGCUUAACCGAAGAAGUGCAUCGGAAACCGGGCGACUUGAGUGCAGAAGAGGAUAGUGGAACUCGAUGUGUAGCGGUGGAAUGCGUAUAUAUAUGGAAGAACACCAGUGGCGAAGGCGGCUGUCUGGUCUGUAACUGACGCUGAGGCUCGAAAGCAUGGGUAGCGAACAGGAUUAGAUACCCAGUGUC
rnacentral:rRNA from 1 species